rnacentral:rRNA from 1 species
GGACGGGGCCCGCACAAGCGGUGGAGCAUGUGGUUUUAAUUCGACGCAACGCGAAGAACCUUACCUGGAUUUGACAUCCCGGGGAUCUUUCUGAAAGGAUUGAGCGCCCUUCGGGGAGCCCGGUGACAGGUGCUGCAUGGCUGUCGUCAGCUCGUGUCGUGAGAUGUUGGGUUAAGUCCCGCAACGAGCGCAACCCUUAUCUUUAGUUACCAUCAUUAAGUUGGGGACUCUAAAGAUACUGCCCCGGUUAACGGGAGAAGGUGGGGAUGACGUCAAGUCCUCAUGGCCUUUAUGUCCAGGGCUACACACGUGCUACAAUGGGUUGUACAAAGGGUUGCGAACUCGCGAGAGUAAGCCAAUCCCAAAAGCAACUCUUAGUUCGGAUUGGAGUCUGCAACUCGACUCCAUGAAGCUGGAAUCGCUAGUAAUCGUGGAUCAGCAUGCCACGGUGAAUACGUUCCCGGGCCUU